GCGAAUACCGGAGAAUGUUAUCACGGGAGACACACGGCGGGUGCUAACGUCCGUCGUGAAGAGGGAAACAACCCAGACCGCCAGCUAAGGUCCCAAAGUCAUGGUUAAGUGGGAAACGAUGUGGGAAGGCCCAGACAGCCAGGAUGUUGGCUUAGAAGCAGCCAUCAUUUAAAGAAAGCGUAAUAGCUCACUGGUCGAGUCGGCCUGCGCGGAAGAUGUAACGGGGCUAAACCAUGCACCGAAGCUGCGGCAGCGACACUAUGUGUUGUUGGGUAGGGGAGCGUUCUGUAAGCCUGUGAAGGUGGCCUGUGAGGGUUGCUGGAGGUAUCAGAAGUGCGAAUGCUGACAUAAGUAACGAUAAAGCGGGUGAAAAGCCCGCUCGCCGGAAGACCAAGGGUUCCUGUCCAACGUUAAUCGGGGCAGGGUGAGUCGACCCCUAAGGCGAGGCCGAAAGGCGUAGUCGAUGGGAAACAGGUUAAUAUUCCUGUACUUGGUGUUACUGCGAAGGGGGGACGGAGAAGGCUAUGUUGGCCGGGCGACGGUUGUCCCGGUUUAAGCGUGUAGGCUGGUUUUCCAGGCAAAUCCGGAAAACCAAGGCUGAGGCGUGAUGACGAGGCACUACGGUGCUGAAGCGACAAAUGCCCUGCUUCCAGGAAAAGCCUCUAAGCAUCAGGUAACAUCAAAUCGUACCCCAAACCGACACAGGUGGUCAGGUAGAGAAUACCAAGGCGCUUGAGAGAACUCGGGUGAAGGAACUAGGCAAAAUGGUGCCGUAACUUCGGGAGAAGGCACGCUGAUAUGUAGGUGAAGCGACUUGCUCGUGGAGCUGAAAUCAGUCGAAGAUACCAGCUGGCUGCAACUGUUUAUUAAAAACACAGCACUGUGCAAACACGAAAGUGGACGUAUACGGUGUGACGCCUGCCCGGUGCCGGAAGGUUAAUUGAUGGGGUUAGCGGUAACGCGAAGCUCUUGAUCGAAGCCCCGGUAAACGGCGGCCGUAACUAUAACGGUCCUAAGGUAGCGAAAUUCCUUGUCGGGUAAGUUCCGACCUGCACGAAUGGCGUAAUGAUGGCCAGGCUGUCUCCACCCGAGACUCAGUGAAAUUGAACUCGCUGUGAAGAUGCAGUGUACCCGCGGCAAGACGGAAAGACCCCGUGAACCUUUACUAUAGCUUGACACUGAACAUUGAGCCUUGAUGUGUAGGAUAGGUGGGAGGCUUUGAAGUGUGGACGCCAGUCUGCAUGGAGCCGACCUUGAAAUACCACCCUUUAAUGUUUGAUGUUCUAACGUUGGCCCGUAAUCCGGGUUGCGGACAGUGUCUGGUGGGUAGUUUGACUGGGGCGGUCUCCUCCUAAAGAGUAACGGAGGAGCACGAAGGUUGGCUAAUCCUGGUCGGACAUCAGGAGGUUAGUGCAAUGGCAUAAGCCAGCUUGACUGCGAGCGUGACGGCGCGAGCAGGUGCGAAAGCAGGUCAUAGUGAUCCGGUGGUUCUGAAUGGAAGGGCCAUCGCUCAACGGAUAAAAGGUACUCCGGGGAUAACAGGCUGAUACCGCCCAAGAGUUCAUAUCGACGGCGGUGUUUGGCACCUCGAUGUCGGCUCAUCACAUCCUGGGGCUGAAGUAGGUCCCAAGGGUAUGGCUGUUCGCCAUUUAAAGUGGUACGCGAGCUGGGUUUAGAACGUCGUGAGACAGUUCGGUCCCUAUCUGCCGUGGGCGCUGGAGAACUGAGGGGGGCUGCUCCUAGUACGAGAGGACCGGAGUGGACGCAUCACUGGUGUUCGGGUUGUCAUGCCAAUGGCACUGCCCGGUAGCUAAAUGCGGAAGAGAUAAGUGCUGAAAGCAUCUAAGCACGAAACUUGC
rnacentral:rRNA from 1 species